CCUGCCUUUGGCGGCGUAGCGGCGCUGAGAAGCGAUCCUGGGUCGUGGGUCCUCAGGUCAGGAGGGGGCGACCUGUCCGGGUCGUCCUGGCCAAAGACAGGCCCACGCACCCUCGGAGGGACAGGCAGGGAGGAGGGGGGAAUUUACACAAUGUGAAAUGCACACGUCUGAAAGACACCAUCUAGGCACUCCAAUCAAUGUUUAUAUGUGUAAUGGAACCUCUAUCAAGAAAUGGAAUGUUGACCCCACAAAAUUCCCUCAUGCCCCUUCUCAGUCCCCCAAGCACUGUUCUGUUGCUUUGUUUCGUUUACUAUAGUUUACUUUGGCUCUAGUGUGUUAUAUAAAUAGAAUCAUACAGUAUCUGCCUUUCGUGUCUGGCGCCUUUCACCCAACUGGCAGUUUUUACACUCACCCAGGUUGAUUGCUGCUCCCCUGUGGAUGAGACCUUGGGCUGCCUCCACUCUGGUUGAUAGGAAUAAAGCUGACCUGAGCUCUCUUGCAUGUC